UGUUAUUGGAGGCAGCGUUGUUAAGCGACCAGUAUCUGAGCCGUGCAUUGGAUACAAGCAUGUGCAGUGGACGAUUAUGCAAAUGCUGUCAGGUGUCAUGAAGCACAGAGCUCUGCAAUAACAGCCCUGAGGCAGCAGCAGGGGUUCAUGAAGAAGUACUUGAGCCUCCGCCUGAAGUCCUCCACCAUCUUCGAGUCCAGGGUCCGAGUGUGAGCGCUCCAUCUGCAGUGGCCGUUCAGCCUCCUCUCCUCCGACCUCGAGCACAAGAACAACAGGGAGAUGCAAUGGAGCCUGAACUCACCCCGCAAUGAAACAAUCCUCUUACCCUGAGCCUCACCUCCCUGGGUUUUGCAAGCCUUUUCCAGUUGUUUCCAAAUGUGCAAAUGCAGUAUUUGAGAAUGAUGACCUCACAUAUUUUUGUUGCUGUAGUCUGAAGUGAGUCUAAGGUUACACUUUUUCUCAUCUCUGUGUCAGUGAUGAAACUGUGUAUGUGUACCUCUCUCUCUAAACGAUUGGAACAUCCCCACACAGCACCAUGGUGGAAACCAUGUGAGAGGACAACACGGAAGGAAGGGCACAGACAAACUGCUUGACAUCCUUGUCACGUGUCUGAGUUUAUUAGAAGUUAAUUCAUUGUAGUAAAUAAGUACAUAGUGCAAAGACAAAGAUAUAUAAAAUAAAUAUGUCUAUAAACUGCUGCUGCUGCUGCUAGGCCAGUGAUCCAUUGUGCUGACACUUAACAGUCAUUGGUUGUCACCUGUUGGUCUCCUUCUGUCCCACUGAAAGUAAUUAAGAUAACAUUAGUUAUUAAAUCAUUACAAUCAUUACAUUAUCAAUACAUAUUAGGAUGUGAUUGCUCUUGACAACCACACAAGACUAAGGACAGAACUGAAAAGAUAAUUUAAACCAAUAAAAGCAACAUGCUGUUUCACCAAGGUAAAGACACACAUACACAUUACACAUAAUACUGUGUAAUAAUACAUUUCUAUCAUAUAAUUAUGCUGUCGUAUACUUAUAUUGGCCUGUAUACAUAUAUAAAUACAUAUCCAUAUCCACAUCCCUUAUAUAUACACUGUGUACAUACUGUGUAAUAUUGCUGUGCAAAUUCCAGUGUGCAAUAUUUUGCCACUUCCUGUGGAAUAAUAUUUGAACAUUUCUGUAUUUUUACAGUAAAAAUACUACACAUCAUGUGUAUUACAAUCA